rnacentral:ncRNA from 1 species
AUGCAAAUCCUAGUGCGGGCAAAUUAUACUGUAAAACUGCGAAUAGCUUAUUAAAUUAGUUAUUGUUUAUUUAAAAAUACCUUACCGCUUAGAUAUCUAUAGUAAUUCUAGAGCUAAUACAUGCUGAAAACCCUGACUUUAGAAGGGAUGCGUUAAUUAGAUUAAAGCCUAAUGCCCUUCGGGGCUUUUAGGUGGUUUAUAAUAAUUUUUACAGAUUACAUAGCCUUGCGCUAGCGACGGUUUAUUUAAAUUUCUGCCCUAUUAACUUUCGAUAGUAAGGUAUUAGCUUACUAUAGUUUUAACAGGUAAUAGAGAAUUAGGGUUUAAUUCUAGAGAGGUAGCCUAAGAAACAGCUACCCUAUCUAAGGAAGGCGGUA